rnacentral:RNase_P_RNA from 1 species
AUCCCGGGGUGGAUGGCCGCUCCGAUGUUCUUUCGCAUCCCAAGACGCGGGUUAAACGCCCGCGUCCGGCAGAGAACCUCGUCGGAGAGGAAAGUCCGGACACCGCAGGGCAGGAUGCUGGCCGAGGUCCGCAAGGGCCAAGUCCAGGCGGCGCGCGUCAAGGUGCGUCGACGGAAAGUGCCACAGAGAAUAUACCGCCCGAGGGGAAACCCGAGGGUAAGGGUGAAAAGGUGGGGUAAGAGCCCACCGCGUCGAUCGUGAGGUCGGCGGCACGGUAAACCCCGUCCGGUGCAAGGCAAAAUAGGCGACCGGGCGGCUCGUCCAAUGGUCGCGGGUAUGCCGCAUCCGCCUCCGCGCAAGCGAGGGGCGGGCAGGCCGGCCGCGAGGCCGGCGUUGAGAGAAAUGGCCGUCAACCGGCGCGGCAACGCGCCGGCUACAUAACCCGGCUUACAGCCCCGGGAUCAGA